UAACAAAAACAUUUCUAUUAGAUUUCAUUAAUAGUAUAAUCUGCUCAAUGAUAUUAAAUAGCCGCUAUUACUGUGCUAAGGUAGCAUAAUCAUUUGUCUUUUAAUUAAAGACUAGAACAAAAGAUUGAACAUUUUAAUUAAUAUAUCCAAACUAAUUAAUUAAAUUUAUUUUAAAUGUAAAAAAACAUUUAUAAAUUAGAAAGACGAUAAGACCCUAUUAAACUUAACUUAAGUUAAACUGGGGCAGUUAAUUAAUUAUCAUUUUAAUUUAAAUACAAAAACAAAUAGAUCCUAUAAAAUAGAUUAAAUGAUCAAGUUACUAUAGGGAUAACAGCGUAAUAUUAAUUAAAAGACCUUAUUAAAAUAAAAGAUUACGACCUCGAUGUUGAAUUAAUAACCUAUAUAGUUGCAAUAAACAAUAAAGG
rnacentral:rRNA from 1 species